rnacentral:rRNA from 1 species
UGGCUCAGGACGAACGCUGGCGGCGUGCCUAAUACAUGCAAGUCGAGCGGACCUUUUAAAAGCUUGCUUUUGAAAGGUCAGCGGCGGACGGGUGAGUAACACGUGGGCAACCUGCCUGUAAGACUGGGAUAACUUCGGGAAACCGGAGCUAAUACCGGAUAAUAUAAGGAACCUCCUGGUUCUUUAUUGAAAGAUGGUUUCGGCUAUCACUUACAGAUGGGCCCGCGGUGCAUUAGCUAGUUGGUGAGGUAACGGCUCACCAAGGCAACGAUGCAUAGCCGACCUGAGAGGGUGAUCGGCCACACUGGGACUGAGACACGGCCCAGACUCCUACGGGAGGCAGCAGUAGGGAAUCUUCCGCAAUGGACGAAAGUCUGACGGAGCAACGCCGCGUGAGUGAUGAAGGCUUUCGGGUCGUAAAACUCUGUUGUUAGGGAAGAACAAGUACAAGAGUAACUGCUCGUACCUUGACGGUACCUAACCAGAAAGCCACGGCUAACUACGUGCCAGCAGCCGCGGUAAUACGUAGGUGGCAAGCGUUAUCCGGAAUUAUUGGGCGUAAAGCGCGCGCAGGCGGUUUCUUAAGUCUGAUGUGAAAGCCCACGGCUCAACCGUGGAGGGUCAUUGGAAACUGGGGAACUUGAGUGCAGAAGAGAAAAGCGGAAUUCCACGUGUAGCGGUGAAAUGCGUAGAGAUGUGGAGGAACACCAGUGGCGAAGGCGGCUUUUUGGUCUGUAACUGACGCUGAGGCGCGAAAGCGUGGGGAGCGAACAGGAUUAGAUACCCUGGUAGUCCACGCCGUAAACGAUGAGUGCUAAGUGUUAGAGGGUUUCCGCCCUUUAGUGCUGCAGCAAACGCAUUAAGCACUCCGCCUGGGGAGUACGGUCGCAAGACUGAAACUCAAAGGAAUUGACGGGGGCCCGCACAAGCGGUGGAGCAUGUGGUUUAAUUCGAAGCAACGCGAAGAACCUUACCAGGUCUUGACAUCCCGUUGACCACUGUAGAGAUAUGGUUUUCCCUUCGGGGACAACGGUGACAGGUGGUGCAUGGUUGUCGUCAGCUCGUGUCGUGAGAUGUUGGGUUAAGUCCCGCAACGAGCGCAACCCUUGAUCUUAGUUGCCAUCAUUUAGUUGGGCACUCUAAGGUGACUGCCGGUGACAAACCGGAGGAAGGUGGGGAUGACGUCAAAUCAUCAUGCCCCUUAUGACCUGGGCUACACACGUGCUACAAUGGAUGGUACAAAGGGCUGCAAGACCGCGAGGUUAAGCGAAUCCCAUAAAACCAUUCUCAGUUCGGAUUGCAGGCUGCAACUCGCCUGCAUGAAGCCGGAAUCGCUAGUAAUCGCGGAUCAGCAUGCCGCGGUGAAUACGUUCCCGGGCCUUGUACACACCGCCCGUCACACCACGAGAGUUUGUAACACCCGAAGUCGGUGGGGUAACCUUUUUGGAGCCAGCCGCCUAAGGUGGGACAGAUGAUUGGGGUGAAGUCGUAACAAGGUAAC